rnacentral:misc_RNA from 1 species
AGUACCUCCCCUUUUGCUUUCUGUUGUAGUUUUUGUUUUUAUAUAUAUUGUUGAUUCACCAUAAGGGUCAAUUAUGUCUCAAAAUAACCUUCAAUCCGAUUCAUUGCAAAACCCCAGAGUGACUUGGGAGGGUUGCAGCGUCUUGCUCGACAUCAACGACGGCGACCGGCUGGUAUUUGCUCGUCUCACAUCAGGCUCCACUUUGAAAAUUGGAAACAAAAAUUUUUCUUUGCGGCC